rnacentral:rRNA from 1 species
GACGAACGCUGGCGGCGUGCUUAACACAUGCAAGUCGAACGAGACCCCCGCUUCGGUGGGGUGUUCUAGUGGCAAACGGGUGAGUAACACGUGGGCAACCUGCCCCCGGCUCUGGGAUAACUCCAAGAAAUUGGGGCUAAUACCGGAUAUGACCGCUGACCGCAUGGUCUGGUGGUGGAAAGAUUUAUCGGCUGGGGAUGGGCCCGCGGCCUAUCAGCUUGUUGGUGGGGUAGUGGCCUACCAAGGCGACGACGGGUAGCCGGCCUGAGAGGGUGACCGGCCACGCUGGGACUGAGACACGGCCCAGACUCCUACGGGAGGCAGCAGUGGGGAAUAUUGCGCAAUGGGCGGAAGCCUGACGCAGCGACGCCGCGUGGUGGAUGACGGCCUUCGGGUUGUAAACCUCUUUCAGCAGGGACGAAGCCGCAAGGUGACGGUACCUGCAGAAGAAGCACCGGCCAACUACGUGCCAGCCGCCGCAGUAA